GAAGAGUCCCCUGGUCCCAGAGAUGGAGCUGAGGCCCCCUUGGCCUUGUCCCUCCUGUGAGCCUCCAGCCCACCCACCCGUCGGCCCCUGUGAGACCUGCUCAGGGGCCAUGCCGGUCCCCUCGGUGGCCUCCUGCCGGCUGCCCUGUCUGGAGGGACAGCCCCAUCAGGCAGGGCUCCGGCUCCACCCGAGCCCCCCAGAGAUCACCAAGACGCGCCCUUGGAGCCACUCGGGGAGGAAAUCCAACAAGGACACUAACUGGACAUAAAGGGAAGGGGACGUCGGGUGCGAUCGUCCCGGUGGACGCUGGGGCUAUGGGUUCUGUGGCUGGACACCUUACAAUCCCAGGGCGCAGCCCCCAGGGCCACCGGAUGGAGCAGUGGCCUUUCCCACACCGGGGCUCCCUCUGACCCUCCUCUGCCCAUAGCUGUACCCAGCAGAUGUCCCCAGACUUCGAUCCAGUGACAAAGGACUUGUGUCACACACACAGUGUCUGCACGUGUGCCCGUGAGUCGCCUGCGCGAGAACCGAGCUGUGGCACAUGUGGCCUCUGGACUUCAUAUUUUCAGAGGAAUUUUUGUCCCUUGUCCUGGUGAUGUGACAGCACCUGGUGGGGUCUCCCUUCUGCAGAUGGCUUCUCCCACCCAACACAGACGCGUCCCUGCAAUGAACCGGAGUGUGCAGAGAGAACAUGUGGUCAGUCUGUGAUCACCGUGGAGUAGUAUUCAGCCACGAAGAAGCAGAUCUAUUGGCAACAGCUUGGAGAUCCCCGGAGGAUGUUAUUGUGGUCAGUGAAAUAAGCCGAGCCCAGAAGGACCAAGGACACAGGGGCUCCUCUGUCCUGGGAUGAGAGCAUCAGGGAGCACAAUGGCGGCUGGGGAGAGGCUGGAUCUCCAAGUUGGCGCCGACAGGAGGAAUAAAUCCAAGCUGCUCGCGAGGAGCCUAACGGCUCUGUUAAUAAUGCAUUGCACACUGAGAACCGCUCGGAGAAUAGGCUUUAAGUGUUCUCCGUGCAGAGGGAUGACAAGUGUGUGGGGUAACGCAUACAUUAAUUAGCGCCAUCCAGCCUCUCCGCCCAGAUGCGUAUUUCAAAACGUCUCGAGAAACUCACGAUAAAUAUGUGCCUUUUAAAAAUCUGCCCGUUAAGACAAAAAUA
rnacentral:lncRNA from 1 species